UCCUUUAUAUAUUUAUAUAGAAGAUCUGAGAAAACCACAUAACAUGUAUUAUAGAUAGGCAAUUAAUUAACCAAUUAUUGAUUCCUAAAACCGACUACCUCAACACCAAAAUGAAACGUUAUAACAUGAACUCAUUACUCAUAUAUAUACUGUGUGAGACAACAUGUUUUCUCCCAUAAGUGGAGUUUUUCAGCCAAAUAACAACAUCAUAUCAAGUGCAGUAAUUAAUGGUAAAACAAAAAGCAAUCACUUUAACUUAUCUUUAUUUCUCUCUAUUCUCUAAGUAUGGUUCUCCAUACUUAGAGAAUAUGCAGUAAAUAACAAUCUCUCACAAUUGUAGAAGAAUCAGAGUAGAAUAGGAAGAAACAACCACAACAUAAACUAGGAAAGAAAUGGAACUUAAUUUUUGAAAUGGGAUAAACAACUAGGAAACAUAACAUAGAGAAAGAAGUAAUUAACUCAAUACUCGAUAUCAAGAUAGUCGAGUUGCACAACAAUAACAACUACCCAGUAUAGUCUCAAGUGGGGUAUGGGGAGGGUAAUAUGUAGACGAGUCUUACCCCUACCUAAAAGGGCAGAGAGACUAUUUCCAAUCGACCAUCGUCUCAAAUAGUCGAGUUGCACGUAAAUAGAAAAAUAACUAACACACAAAGAGGGAAUUUCUUGCUUUACCUUAUUCUUUGUAGAAGAUGAAAAUGACAAUUAGCAACAACAAAAAAUAUGCAUCAAGGCAUGGUUUUUGGUAGAGAAAGUAUAGCAAAAGAAGGAAGGAUUAACAGAAAAUGAAUGAGAGAGUAUAAGUAAAGAUGCUUAGGUUGGCGUCUGAAUUAU
rnacentral:lncRNA from 1 species